GGCCACUGUGGUGUAGUGGUUUGAGAGUUAGACUAUGACUCUAAAAAGCAGGGUUCAAAUUCUUGCUUGGCCA